UUCUCUUUUUUCUCGCUGUUACAAUGCAAUCAACCUCUAAACUCUAGACGGUAGUUAGUUUUGUAACUUAAUUAAUUGAGGUGACGAGAUCAAGAGAUGAGAGCGUUGAACUAUUUGCUUUCAGUAUAGUAGAGCGAACGGGCGGCCACUUGCUUAUUAGAUUUAUUUUUAAUUCAGUUGUUGUUUGCUUUUAAAGUGAUCAGUAAUGGAUUUAAAAUUUUUGUUGCUAUACAUUUUGAUAUUUUCGGAAUUAGCCAGGAUUUGUUUAAACGCCUGCAAUCGUAAACCUCAGGGAGCCAACGGAGAUCCAUCGCCUGUCGAUGCUAACUUUCAUAUGUUAAUCGAUGGCAAUCCUUCGCAUUACAUAAACGGACAACGUUACAAUCUUUCAUUGUCUUCUACCAACGGAUUGAAAUUUAUAAGUUUUACUUUGGUGGUGGAACCUGAUUCAUACGCCUUAACUUUGCCGGACCGCAAUAUGUUGGGUCAUUUCGCAAUAAUUGACACAGCUGAAACGAAAUUCAACGCUUUGUGCGAAAAUAUGGUCGAGAGUACCAAUGCAAAUGUAAAAUCCCGUGUGGAUAUUAGCUGGAUCGCUCCCACAAGUCCAUAUAGUAAUUGCGUUGUUUUUAAAGUCGCUUUCUUACAACACCGACAUGUUUGGUUUAUUGACGAUGGUGGUUUGUCGAAACGCUUAUGCCCAGAGGAAAUCGAUGAAAUAAACAGUCAAACGCCGCCGGUAAAUCCUUGCUGCGCCUGUGAUGAGGCUAAAUAUGAGAUAAUAUUGGAACGCAAAUGGAUGCGAAACACCCAUGCCAAACAAUUUCCUUCCGAGGCAUGGCGUACGCGAUUUGGUGAAUUGCUGGGUGCUUCGCACACUUUAGAAUAUCGUUUUUGGCAAUACGGCGGUUUGGCCAGUGCAGGUCUCAAAGAAUUGGCAGAACAUGGUUCCACAAAAGCCUUGGAAAGAGAAAUUACAGAAACUGCAAGUGCGGGCGAAAUACGAACCAUAAUUAAAGCCCCUGGUAUUGGCUAUAGGCAAAAUUCCAUUGCCACGACCAUGGCUACCGUCAGAGUUGACGCUAAGCAUCACAUUCUUUCGUUAGUUGCAAAAAUUGAACCUUCACCUGAUUGGAUUUUAGGCGUAGCCGGCUUAGAGCUAUGUUUAGCCAAUUGCACUUGGAUAACCGAGAAGACUUUGAAUUUGUAUCCCUGGGAUGUGGGAACUGAUGCUGGUUCAUCUUAUAUGUCCCCCGAUCAACCACAAAUUCCCCCAGACGUUAUAAGGCGUAUUACGUCAUCAUAUCCACGAGAUUAUCGUUCGCCUUUUUUCGAUGAGUCGGGUGCACCAAUGAAAUCGCUAGCUACUCUCUACAUAAAUAGAAAGAAAAUCUAUGAGAAAGAUUGCAGUUAUAAUAAAAAUGUUGCUUUAGAAUGCUCGACUCAUCCCUGGAAUAAUUGGACCGAUUGCACAUCCAAAUGCGGUCCCGGCACUCAGUAUCGUGUACGCGAUUACAAAGAUCCGGAAUUGGCGAGACAUUACAAAUGCCGUCAAGUGUUGAGACAGAAUCAAAAUUGUAUAGGCAAUCGAUGCGGUUUAACCUAUAGUUCAGAUAUGACCGGUAUAACAGAAUGUGAACUCACUGAAUGGAGCGAUUGGACUGAGUGCUCGAAGAAAUGUGGUCGCGGCUAUCAAAAACGUCUUCGAGAAUAUAUUAACGGUUACAACAAAGAAAGGUGUCAGAGUGAUGUGCGUCAAGAUUUGCAAGAAACGCGUCGCUGUUACGGUCAAAAUUGCGGCGGUUCUAUUAAUACUUCUUUCGAUGAUAUAUAUUCGGAACCCUAUGAGCCCCAAGAUAUUGAAGAAAUCUACGAAAUAGCGAAAUUAAAUCGUAAGCUCGUUAAAACACAAGCGAUCCCAAAAGUUGGCUUGAGAUCUGAGAGCAAUUCGCUACGUUCGUUUAACAUUAACAAUUCCACGAAAGAUGAUACCGAUCUUGAUCAAGACUUAGUCGGCCAAACAGAAAAUGUUACUCGCAAACAAAAUGCAAAAGAAUCAACGCAAUAUUUAAUUGCGAAUACAACAACAAGAAAACAAAAUAAUUCGCUUAACAACAUGCUGCCGGAUUAUUGCAUGGAGAGGCCUGUAGCGCCAAAGGCGUUCUGUAAUAAAAAUCGUGUUAUUUUACAAAAUUUUUGGUUUUAUGACGCCGAUGAUAUUCAAUGUAAACUGUUUACAGCCGACAGUUGCGAUACUAAUCGCAACAAAUUUCGUAAAUUGGAAAUCUGUGAGGAAAAAUGUUUAAAACGUCACAUAAACGAGAGGGAGGAGGUUAAGGUAAAAGCUGCUCAACAGCCUAAAGAAAAAAGGAGUGCAAUAUAUAUAAAGCGUACCUUUUGAGUUAUGAAAAGUGCAAAUUUCUAGCAGAGAGAGCUGGAGAGAGAGAGAGAGAGAGAGAGAGAAAAGCAGUUAAAGGCCUCUCUUUUUUGUCUUUCUGCAGAAAUCUUUGGAUUAACAUUGAAUUUCUACUAACCUAGCUUAAGAUGAAGUGAUAACACACAGAGAGCUAUGUAAAGAUAAGAGACAUCGAAUGUGAAGAAAACUUGAGGCGAAUUUUGUAUACCUUUCAGCAGUUUCCUUACAAUCCUAUAAUGGUCAGCGUUUUCUGAGUGCCAAAGUGACAUUGGAA